UACGUAGGGGGCAUGCGUUGUCCGGAUUCAUUGGGCGUAAAGAGCGUGUAGGCGGCCAGGUAGGUCGGUUGUGAAAACUGGAGGCUCAACCUUCAGAGGUCGACCGAAACCAUCUGGCUAGAGUCCGGGAGAGGAGAGUGGAAUUCCUGGUGUAGCGGUGAAAUGCGCAGAUAUCAGGAAGAACACCCGUGGCGAAAGCGGCUCUCUGGAACGGUACUGACGCUGAGACGCGAAAGCGUGGGGAGCGAACAGG
rnacentral:rRNA from 1 species